AUAACCUGAUCGAUCUGCCGUAGACGAAGAUAGGUGAACAUGGUUGAAUUGGAGGGUUGCUGUUCGAGCUUGCCGAAUGUUGAAUAGAAGUUAUACUUGAUGACUUCGUUGUUUACAGAGACGACGAUAGGAAGAUGUGAUUGAUCUUGAGGGAUGCUGCUUGAAUAAUUUGAACGAAAUCUAGUAUCUAUAUUUGAUGGUCUCGUUGUUGACAGUGAUGAGAGAGAGGAAUUUUUAGGAAACAAGGACGAGAGAGAAGCUAUUGGAAAUAUUGGUAUGAUGGAGCGGAUUAAUUAUCUGACUGAUCUGCCGUAGACAAUGAUAGGAAAAUACGAUUGAUUCGGAAGGAUGCUGUUCGAGUCUGUUGGAUGAUGAGUAGAAUUUAUACCUGAUGAGUUCGUUGUUGACAGCGGAAGUGAAAAAAAAAAGAGAGAGAAGCUGCCAGG